rfam:Myotis lucifugus cont2.34334, whole genome shotgun sequence.
GGCCUCCCUCUGUGGGGCGAUUGAUUGUGGGAUCCCCAGAUCGAUUGCCCAACAGAGGGAGGCC